rnacentral:rRNA from 1 species
GACGAACGCUGGCGGCGUGCCUAAUACAUGCAAGUCGAACGCAGUGGGGACGGGUGAGUAACACGUGGGUAACCUCCCAUCAGAGGGGAUAACACUUGGAAACAGGUGCUAAACCGAUACUGAUGGAUGGACCCGCGGUGCAUUAGCUAGUUGGUGAGGUAACGGCUCACCAAGGCCACGAUACAUAGCCGACCGGAGAGGGUGAGCGGCAAAACUGGGGCUGGGACACGGCCCGGAUCCCUACGGAGGGCAGAAGUAGGGAAUCUGCGGAAAGGGACGGAGGUCUGAACGAGCAACGCCGCGUGAGUGAAGAGGGUUUUCGGAUCGUAAAGCUCUGUUGUUAGAGAAGCGGUAACUAACCAGAAGGGGACGGCUAACUACGUGCCAGAAGCCGCGGUAAUAC